CCAACUUCCGGGUAGUGGCGCCGCACGCCCGCGGCGGCUUCGCCCCGGCUUCCCCUCCCCCGACCCCCUCGCCGCGCCCUCCGUUCCUUUGAUUCCCGGCCCCACCCGCCAAAAUGAACGGCGCGGACGAGGAGAAGCAGCUGCAGCUCAUCACCAGCCUGAAGGAGCAAGCAAUAGGCGAAUAUGAAGACCUCAGGGCCGAGAACCAGAAAACAAAGGAGAAGUGUGACAAAAUUAGGCAAGAACGAGAUGAAGCUGUUAAAAAGCUGGAAGAAUUUCAGAAAAUUUCUCACAUGGUCAUAGAGGAAGUUAAUUUUAUGCAGAACCAUCUUGAAAUAGAGAAGACUUGUCGAGAAAGCGCCGAAGCUUUGGCAACCAAGCUAAAUAAAGAAAAUAAAACACUGAAACGAAUCAGCAUGUUAUACAUGGCCAAGCUGGGGCCGGAUGUAAUAACGGAGGAAAUCAACGCCGACGACGACGAUUUCUCCACGGACACAGAGGCCGCCCCCGAGACGUGCGUCUCCAUUCAGUGUCAGAAGCAAAUCAAAGAACUUCGAGAUCAGAUUGUAUCUGUUCAGGAGGAAAAGAAGAAACUGGCCAUUGAGCUGGAGAAUCUCAAGAGCAAACUCGUAGAAGUGAUAGAAGAAGUAAAUAAAGUUAAACAAGAAAAGGCUGUUUUACAUUCCGAAGUUCUCGAACAGAGGAAAGUCUUAGAAAAAUGCAACAGAGUGUCCAUGUUAGCAGUGGAAGAAUACGAGGAGAUGCAGGUCAGCCUGGAGCUGGAGAAAGACCUCCGGAAGAAAGCAGAGUCGUUUGCACAAGAGAUGUUCAUUGAACAAAACAAGCUCAAGAGACAAAGCCACCUUCUGCUGCAGAGCUCCGGCCCUGACCAGCAGCUUCUGAAAGCUUUAGAUGAGAAUGCAAAGCUCACGCAGCUCCUUGAAGAAGAGCGAAUUCAGCAUCAGCAGAAGGUCAAAGACUUAGAGGAGCGGCUGCAAAACGAAACCCUGCACAAAGAGAUCCACAGCCUCAAGCAGCAGCUGGAGCUCCUGGAGGAAGACAAGAAGGAGCUGGAACUGAAGUACCAGAGCUCAGAGGAGAAGGCCAGGAACUUAAAGCAUUCUGUGGACGAACUCCAGAAACGCGUGAACCAGUCUGAGAAUUCAGUACCUCCACCCCCUCCUCCUCCACCGCCACUCCCCCCUCCGCCUCCCAAUCCCAUCAGAUCUCUCAUGUCCAUGAUCCGGAAACGAUCCCACCCCAGUGGCAGUGGUGCUAAGAAAGAAAAGGCGGCGCAGCCAGAAGCAGCUGAAGAAGUCACAGACCUGAAGAGGCAAGCAGUGGAAGAAAUGAUGGAUAGAAUCAAAAAGGGGGUUCAUCUCAGACCCGUUAAUCAGACGACCAGGCCCAAGGCACAGGCAGAAUCUUCAAAAGGCUCUGAAAGUGCGGUGAAUGAGCUAAAAGGAAUACUGGGGACACUUAACAAAUCUACUAGCUCAAGAAGCUUAAAGUCCCUUGACCCCGAGAGCAGUGAAACUGAGUUAGAGAGGAUCUUGCGUCGCAGGAAGGUGACGGCAGAAGCAGAUAGCAGUAGUCCAACCGGGAUAUUAGCCACCUCAGAGUCCAAAUCCAUGCCCGUGUUGGGUUCUGUAUCCAGUGUAACAAAAACAGCCUUGAACAAGAAAACUCUGGAGGCAGAAUUCCACAGCCCGUCCCCCCCGGCACCUGAGGCAGGUGGAGGGCCCCGUAAGGUGGAAGAAUGCACACGUUCCAAGGUUACACUUCAGACCAAAUGGACAAACUCAUACAAUCCUUUGAGCUGCGGUGCAGUUUUCAACAAAAAGACAGAGCCAAGAGAACGAUUUGGCUCUGCCUGCCUUUGCCGUGCCAUUACGGUCACAGAGAAGGGUGCACCUUAGGCCUGCAACUUUCUUCUGUGAAGUUUGGGGGAGGCGUGUUUAAAAAAAAAAGUUCCUGAAAAACAGGGCUUCCCAAGGAAACAAGAAAAACCUGCUCGGCUGUGAUGCGGGCCGGGCCGGCUGCCGGCAAACAAAGUGGGACGUCUCAGUUUUCCACCGGCAGACAGACAGGAGAGCCCACUUCCUCUUUUGGACUUUUCCCAGGAAACGACUUUCUAAAGGCAGAUUUAAAUCUUUCCGUUUUCUGUCCUUGAAGGUGGUAAAUAUGAUUGCGGUUUUAUCCACUUCUGUUGUAAAUGAAACAGAGUUCAGACCGCCCGGCUGUGCGUCACUUGUUGGACGGCUGCCACGGACUAAUGCGGACGCCCCACUGGGAGACCAGAGAAGAGCUAUACUUUGAUUCCCCAGAUUGUGUUAAAUAGUCCAGCUGUUGGAUUUGAAAGAUGGUUACCUCAGAAGCGAAAGAGAAAUGAACUUGGCAUUUAUGCCUCAAACCGUUUUUCUACUGUUUGGCAAUCAGCUUUUCAGAAGCAGCGUUUUAUAAAAUAACUCUUAGCGCUUAAAAGUUUCAUUCACUGUAAUGUUCAAAAUGUCCCACCUUUAUAUUAUCAGUAAAAUUAAGCUUGAGUGAUAUGCAGAAUUUGCAUGAAAUAAGCAUCUCCCCCUUCAUUUCAUGAGCUUUGAUUGUAUUCAAUUGAGCUCAGAACCAUGUCGAUUAGGGCUCUCUUGGGCAUUAGUUAAUUUGAAUUGCAGCCGAAACGUUAGCUAGAAUGUUGUUGAAUAUAAUUGGGACGUGGAAAGUUGAUUUUGAAAGGAAUUUCAUUGAAUGCAAACAAUGAUUUGCUUUUUAAAAAAUUAGAAUGCCACGCUUUCAUCUCUUGCAACGUCUGAGAAACCACCGGGUCUCUUUAUGAAGUUCAGCUUUGGCACAGCCAUUUGCAAUUGUUCUGAUUCUGCCGGUACCAGUACAGUCUGGAGUCAGGACUGGCCUUUCACCCGCAAGCGGCCCCACCUGCCCAGGCGCCACGUCCCGGCUCUCCUGCAGUUGGCGAACAGUAGGUGCCGCCUUCACAGGGCACCCACGGCGAGCUUGGGCAUCAGGCUGCAUAGAGCGGUGUGCAUCGAUAUAUUGUCUCCUAGCUUCCGUGUUUGCCUUCCUGUUUGUGCAUGUGUCCUGAAAUUGCCUUUGAGCAUGUGGUCUAAAAUGACCCAUGAAAAAUCUCUGUUUGAAUGGGUCAGAAAUAACUGCCAGUCUGUUGUAGCAAGAAAAAUAUGUCGGGCAGGAAGCCCGAUUCCAUCGUUUGAGCCCCCCACCCCGCUCUCAGCAAGCUGGGUGCUGGUGAACAGAUGCUCCCGCUUCACUGUCCCUGGGGUCUUCCCGUGAAGCCGGGGUCCCUUGCGGCCUGACAUCCCGUGAUUUUGGCCUUGGCUGGUGUCACCUGGAAGACUUCUGCCCUCAGUUGCAGGCUUCACAGCACACAGCAGAAGGGCCACUGCUGCUCAGCAGGACCCACUCUGAAUUCCUUACGUGUGGUCCCCAUCCCUAGGUGCAGGGACGGGAGGGCAGGUAUGACCCAGUUCCUCGUGGGUUUGUGGCGUUAGAGCUUCUGGGGUUUGCACCUUGGAGAAAAGCUCUCAGGAACGCCACCGUGGCUGCUGAGAAUGAGAGCCUGGGCUCCUAGCACGUCAGGAAGGGAGCUGUCUGGCUGUCCCUGUGGGCUGGGGGUGGAGACAGGUAGAAUGAGGCCUUGGAGGAAGCGUUCUCAUUCCAGGAGAGCCCUGGGCAGCCCCCUGUUAGAACCAGGAAUGGGCCUGCUCACGUCAAAGCCGGAGGAUGGUCUGAAGGAGGGGGCUUCACAGAUCUGCAACACGGGAAUGGAAACGGAUUCAGGAAGACAGACGUCGGUCCGCACUCCCCCAGCAGCCCAGGACGGCGGUAUCACGUUCCGAGGAGCUGCCUCUGGGAAGUGGUGCCGAGGGAGAGGCAGGAGCAGGAGCUGCGUUGUAGGCCAGGCUCGUCCCCUCGGCCCGCCUCCCGUCCUCAUCCGUCCGAGGACAGCUCAGACUCGGGAUUGUCUCCGUCCCUUUCUGCCUCGCCCCACUGGGAUUCCAAGACGACCGUCAUUAUCCGGGAGAAACCAGUGACUCUGCCCCCGUGCCUAGAUGCAGACAGCUUGCCCGCUGCCCCUGGUUCAGUGAAAAUCCACAGAGGCCGGCCAGCGGCUUAACAGCAGACGCAACUGCAGUGGAAAAUUGAGGACGCACCCUGAGGUCUCCAGGUUUCCAGCGGAGCCCUGAGAGCACUUCCUGGAGGGCCUUGGUCCCCAGCUGACGAAGAUGCUUUUGCUAGGAUGUGUUCAGCAGCCCUCCACCUGCAGGCACCCAGGAGAUGCCCUGGUGAUUCUCCAGGGUGACCGAGGCCUCCCAGUAGCCCUGGAUACAGAGGAUGCACUGGCGGUGAAAACGGAGCUGAGCCAGUGGUAGUUUUAGAUCCCGUUUCCACC